rnacentral:rRNA from 1 species
UACGGGAGGCAGCAGUGGGGAUCUUGGACAAUGGGGGCAACCCUGAUCCAGCCAUGCCCUGAGUGAUGAAGGCCUUAGGGUCGUAAAGCUCUUUCGCCAGGGAUGAUAAUGACAGUACCUGGUGAAGAAACCCCGGCUAACUCCGUGCCAGCAGCCGCGGUAAU